GACGAACGCUGGCGGCGUGCCUAAUACAUGCAAGUAGAACGCACAGUUUAUACCGUAGCUUGCUCCACCAUAGACUGUGAGUUGCGAACGGGUGAGUAACGCGUAGGUAACCUGCCUGGUAGCGGGGGAUAACUAUUGGAAACGAUAGCUAAUACCGCAUAAUAUUGAUUAUUGCAUGAUAAUUGAUUGAAAGAUGCUAUUGCAUCACUACCAGAUGGACCUGCGUUGUAUUAGCUAGUAGGUGAGGUAACGGCUCACCUAGGCGACGAUACAUAGCCGACCUGAGAGGGUGAUCGGCCACACUGGGACGGGGACACGGCCCAGACUCCUACGGGAGGCAGCAGUAGGGAAUCUUCGGCAAUGGACGAAAGUCUGACCGAGCAACGCCGCGUCAGUGAAGAAGGUUUUCGGAUCGUAAAGCUCUGUUGGAAGAGAAGAACGGGUGUGAGAGUGGAAAGUUCACACUGUGACGGUAUCUUACCAGUAAGGGACGGCUAACUACGUG
rnacentral:rRNA from 1 species